rnacentral:rRNA from 1 species
UACAGAGGUCUCAACCGUUGUUCGGAUUCAUUGGGCGUAAAGGGUGCGUAGGCGGCCUUCUAAGUCGAACGUGAAAUCCCUGGGCUCAACCCAGGAACUGCGUCCGAUACUGGAAGGCUUGAAUCCGGGAGAGGGAUGCGGAAUUCCAGGUGUAGCGGUGAAAUGCGUAGAUAUCUGGAGGAACACCGGUGGCGAAGGCGGCAUCCUGGACCGGUAUUGACGCUGAGGCGCGAAAGCCAGGGGAGCAAACGGG